rnacentral:rRNA from 1 species
UACGUAGGGAGCAAGCGUUGUCCGGAUUUAUUGGGCGUAAAGAGCUCGUAGGCGGCUUAGAAAGUCAGGUGUGAAACCUCCAGGCUUAACCUGGAGACGCCACUUGAUACUUCUAUGGCUUGAGUUCGGUAGGGGUAAGCGGAAUUCCUGGUGUAGCGGUGAAAUGCACAGAUAUCAGGAGGAACACCGAUGGCGAAGGCAGCUUACUGGGCCGAUACUGACGCUGAGGAGCGAAAGCGUGGGGAGCGAACAGG